GUGAGGAAUAUUGCGCAAUGGAGGCAACUCUGACGCAGCCAUGUCGCGUGCAGGAAGAAGGCGCUACGCGUUGUAAACUGCUUUUAACCGGGAAGAAACCCCAGGACGUGUCCUGGGUUGACGGUACCGGAGGAAUAAGCACCGGCUAACUUCGUGCCAGCAGCCGCGGUAAUACGAAGGGUGCAAGCGUUAUCCGGAUUCAUUGGGUUUAAAGGGUGCGUAGGCGGAGCGUUAAGUCAGUGGUGAAAUCCUGCAGCUUAACUGUAGACUUGCCAUUGAUACUGGCGCUCUUGAGUGCGCUUGAAGUGGGCGGAAUGUGCCGUGUAGCGGUGAAAUGCUUAGAUAUGGCACAGAACACCAAUUGCGAAGGCAGCUCACUAAGGCGAUACUGACGCUGAGGCACGAAAGCGUGGGGAUCGAACAGGAUUAGAAACCCUAGUAGUCC
rnacentral:rRNA from 1 species